CCUACGGGAGGCUGCAGUGAGGAAUAUUGGUCAAUGGACGAGAGUCUGAACCAGCCAAGUAGCGUGAAGGAUGACUGCCCUAUGGGUUGUAAACUUCGUGUAUAGGGGAAUAAAAUGUUCCACGUGUGGGAUUUUGUAUGUACCAUAUGAAUAAGGAUCGGCUAACUCCGUGCCAGCAGCCGCGGUAAUACGGAGGAUCCGAGCGUUAUCCGGAUUUAUUGGGGUUAAAGGGAGCGUAGGUGGAUUGUUAAGUCAGUUGUGAAAGUUUGCGGCUCAACCGUAAAAUUGCAGUUGAAACUGGCAGUCUUGCGUACAGUAGCGGUGGGCGGAUUUC
rnacentral:rRNA from 1 species